rnacentral:misc_RNA from 1 species
UGCUCCCACACACCCGUUUUAUUUUAUUUUUAUUUUUUGUUUGGCUCGUCUUCUUGGCGCUGGUUCCGUCACCAAAGUUUUUCAAAUUUGUCCGUGUCUCCUUGUCUCGUAACGUUUCGAUGUGAGUGCUCUUGGCCUCUCCGCCGUUGUGCUACCACCUAUUCCUCUUCAUCAUGCCGGUUUCGCUUGCCUUUCUUUGUUUCUCUGUAUCUGUCAACGUACCUCUGAGCAUAUAUCAGCAUGCAUGCAUACGCGCGCGCGUGGCUGCACACGUGUAGGCGGAGGCCUACCGACGUCUAUCAUGAUGGGCAGAGGUGUCCGCGCCCACACGCGCACUGACCGCUCAUACCUUGAGACAUAAGAACCUCAGCCACAUGAAGAGAAGAAAGCCAAGCAGAAGCAGAUGCUUAGCAGACAUAAGACGCGCUGCAUAGCGGCUUAACUGCGACUGAUCGACGCCGCAGAAAAAGGCUGGGCCGCCUCGAAGAUCCCUCUUCCGUGCAUGUGUUUACGCGCAUGCGUAUGUUCUAUGCAUGUGUGUGUCUCAGUUUUUAGAUACUUGUACCACCAGC